rnacentral:rRNA from 1 species
UAGACGGCCUGCUCUAUUGUGGAGAGUUAUUAUUAAAAAUUAGGGAGCCUACCCCGAGGGGAAGGGGUGUAAUCCGGGUCUCCCUCGGAGGAAGGGGGAAAUGUUUCCUUUGGGCUGAGGCCACGGAACCGGGAAGCCGAAGACAUGGAUUUGAGACCCAUUUAUUACCGACGCAAACUUUGCUUUUCAGGCAGCUGCUUGGGGACUACGAGCGUGUGCUUAAAACUCAAAGAACUUGGCGGCUUGUUAACUACCUAGGGGAAUAUGUGCCUUAAUCCGAUGAUCCCCGUCGCAUCUUACUAGGCCUUGAAAAAGUGCAGCUGGUGUAUUGCCGUUGUCAGCUUGUUGUUCGAGCAAGGAGUAACAGGCUCAAUGGAGCCGUAGCGAUUGUAUCGUUGGUGUCCGUGAAUUCAGGUCGUAAUACCGCCCACGGCCUAAGGGAGUAGGUGUUACAAUUUAGAUUUAAAAAUACGGAUCUUUAUUUUGAAAUAUUAGGGUGAAGGUGAACUUAGGAGUAAGGGGGAAUUAAUAUGUCUCCCUGAACAUGAAUCUGGCUUGUGUACAAACUGCCCGUCGCUCUCGCCGAGAG